AUGGGUGGGAGGAGGCCAGAAAGGAUGUCAUGGGGGGUGCUACUUCUUCAGUGAGUCCAUUUUGAUUGCAGAUCUGAAGAGAUUUCUUCAAAAUGGCAAGUAAGGUGAUUUAUGCAGAGGUAUCACCUGGGGAAAGAGUGCAUUUUACUUCACAGACUGCAGAUGCAGGUGAACAGAUCACGUACGCUGAGGUGAAAAGGAGGCGGAAAUCUGACACACCGGACAGUAUACCGAAGACUACAUAUCAAACGGCCUGCUCUGAGAACGCGCACUGGUGUUACAUUGCCAUCAUCCUGUACUUCUUCGCAGUGAUUCUAUUCAUCACUGUGAUCCUCUUAGCAAAGGAAUGUGGGAUUUGAAACGAAUGAUGUGGUUCAGCUGACAAAUGGGGAAAGUCAGAUCAGAAAGGCUCUGCUUCUUCAACAAAACAAGACAAAAUGCUUGCUAUAAUGUUAUUUCCUCUGCAUAGACUUCUAUGGAAGAAGACAUGCCAACCGUUUGACCACUCUUCAGUUACUUCUUCCAGGAUUUUCUUGAAACCUUUAACCUCUCUAUAUAUGGGCAAAAUAUAUUAUUGAUAUAAUACUACCAGCAAUCGCCACAUGGUAUCAGCGCACGUAACAAGGUACUGGCUCAAGCUACUGCAUCAUUAGUUGGACCUAUGUCUUGUCUACACAACACAAAUGACCAGGAGAACCCAUUUGAAACAUCACUUUUAUUUCGUGCAUGACUUGAUUUUACAGUAAUCUGUCGUGUAGAUAACCUUUUAGAUUUUGAUACGGUCAAGGGCAAAAAUGCAUGGAUAAAAUAGAGAAUGUGAAUGGUUGCACUAAACUUUUUUUUAUGAGGUCCA